UUCAGCAACAGUACUUUGGAGUAAAGAUUAUUUGCCAAUAUAACAUGGCAGUCCUGGUUUAGGACGAAUGUUGAUGUAAUUUAGCCCCAGGAGACAUCAUCUCCAGCUGGCUAUACGGCAUGAUUUGUGUCCUUAUAUUCACUUGUGUAAA